rnacentral:rRNA from 1 species
CUCGAUGUCGGCUUUUCCUAUCCUGGUCCUGCAGCAGGGGCCAAGGGUGAGGCUGCUCGCCUAUUAAAAGGGAACAUGAGCUGGGUUUAGACCGUCGUGAGACAGGUCGGUCUCUGCCUGAUGGAAGCGUGAAUAACUGAGGGGAAGUUGCUCCUAGUACGAGAGGAACAGAGCAGCGUGGCCACUGGUUUACCGGUUGUCUGAUAAGGCAGGCCGGGCAGCUAAGCCGUUUAGGCUAAGUGCUGAAAGCAUCUAAGCACGAAUCCUAUCCCGAGACAAGUUAUUCUUUCGUAAGAUGAAGGUCGGCAGUCCAAUACUGCGUUGAUAGGAAGGUGGUGUAGAUCACAAGCUUCGGCGAGUGGUGAGCCAGCCUUUACUAAUAGACCAACAUAACGGUUCA